rnacentral:lncRNA from 1 species
GACCGGUAAACUGCUGAGGUUUAUUGUGAACAAAAGAGGAAUCGAGGUCGAUCCUGCUAAAAAAAAAAAAAGAAAAACAAAGAAAAAAAAGAAAGACAAAGAAAAAAAAGAAAGAAAAGAAAAAAGGAAAAAGCAAUACCAGAAUUGCAUGAACCGAAAAGAGAUCAAAUGGUCAGGUAGAUAAUAAUUGCCAAGGGGCAUUGAAAGAUAAAAGAAUAAGUUGCAGGAACCUCUGAUUCUGAUGCCUCCCGUGGAAGGAACAACU